UACGUAGGGGGCAAGCGUUAUCCGGAUUUACUGGGUGUAAAGGGAGCGUAGACGGUUAUGCAAGUCAGAAGCGAAAGCCCAAAGCUCAACUUCGGGACUGCUUUUGAAACUGUGUAACUAGAGUGCAGGAGGGGUAAGCGGAAUUCCUAGUGUAGCGGUGAAAUGCGUAGAUAUUAGGAGGAACACCGGCGGCGAAGGCGGCUUACUGGACUGUAACUGACGUUGAGGCUCGAAAGCGUGGGUAGCAAACAGG
rnacentral:rRNA from 1 species